rnacentral:rRNA from 1 species
UACGUAGGGAGCAAGCGUUGUCCGGAAUCAUUGGGCGUAAAGCGCGCGUAGGCGGCCUCAUAAGUCCGUUGUGAAAGUCAAAGGCUCAACCUUUGAAAGCCGAUGGAUACUGUGAGGCUAGAGUCCGGAAGAGGCGAGUGGAAUUCCUGGUGUAGCGGUGGAAUGCGCAGAUAUCAGGAGGAACACCUGUGGCGAAAGCGGCGCACUGGACCACAACUGACGCUGAGGCGCGAAAGCUAGGGGAGCAAACAGG